rnacentral:lncRNA from 1 species
GGCUCCCAAUCGGAGUCGGAGACGAGCUCCCUCCGGCUCUAUUUAAGGAGGAGAUCCCUCCUCUCUUCCUUCCACCAAAGUAUCUAAGUCCGGUCGGCGGCAAUCACCGGAAAAAUCCCACGGAAGACCGUUCCUGUGCUGUCUAAUUUCUCGCCGGAAAAGCUUCGCCGGCGUCAGAGGUAAGCCUCCUCCCCUUCCUCUCUUCUCCCCCUUCCUUCCCAUGCUGAUGUGCACGCUUGCCGGCGACCAGAGUCUCCGAAUUUUGUUGCGGAAGUAACUUUCAUUUUUUACCGUUUCUCUUUGAUUCCGACGCCGGUGGUCACCGCC